AUGGUUAUGAGGAAAAAAAACACCGAUGGCUCAAAAACCAAUCUUGCUUCUCAAAUUACUAGAAGGGAUAUGCUUAUUAUAAAUAGGACAUACCAUAUACCCUUUAGUGACCCAUCCAGAAAUACUACCAUAGGCUGGAAAAUCAUUAAUAGUCCACAAUAGAACCACAUGCAUUCAAAAACUUUGGCUGUAUGAAGCAUCUAAAACAUCAAUACCCUUAUCCCGUAACUCAUUCAACUCAUUUACUAAUGGCUUUAAGGAGACAUCAAUGUCUCUAUCCGGUGCUUUCAGACCCGAAAUAAGCAAUGAUAGCAUAAAGAAUGACUCAUCC
rnacentral:lncRNA from 1 species